ACUCCUGCGGGAGGCAGCAGUGGGGAAUAUUGGACAAUGGGCGCAAGCCUGAUCCAGCCAUGCCGCGUGAGUGAUGAAGGCCCUAGGGUUGUAAAGCUCUUUCACCGGUGAAGAUAAUGACGGUAACCGGAGAAGAAGCCCCGGCUAACUUCGUGCCAGCAGCCGCGGUAAUACGAAGGGGGCUAGCGUUGUUCGGAUUUACUGGGCGUAAAGCGCACGUAGGCGGACUAUUAAGUCAGGGGUGAAAUCCCGGGGCUCAACCCCGGAACUGCCUUUGAUACUGGUAGUCUUGAGUUCGAGAGAGGUGAGUGGAAUUCCGAGUGUAGAGGUGAAAUUCGUAGAUAAUCGGAGGAACACCAGUGGCGAAGGCGGCUCACUGGCUCGAUACUGACGCUGAGGUGCGAAAGCGUGGGGAGCAAACAGGAUUAGAAACCCCUGUAGUCC
rnacentral:rRNA from 1 species